GGGGAAUUGGCUCAGUCGGUAGAGCGUUGGCCUCAUAGAGAUAUGAUCUGGUUAGACAUCAGAGUUAGCCAAAGAUCGUGAGUUCGAGCCUCACAUUCCCCA